CAGUGUUCAGUGGGCGGCGACGGCGGUUCUCUAAGGUCGACUCCGGCGGAAGGAUUUGGACCUCGCCACCAUCGUUGAUUCGUCGGAUCCGCGGUCCAGAGGAGAAGGCCUGAGCCAAGUGCAUGAUUGACAUAAAGGACAAUGUUCCAUGAGUGGGAGGUGCCGAGCUGGUGAAGUUUCAGUGCCCUUCUUACAAGUGUAUCUUCAGAGAAAGACAUCCCCGCACACAUACAAUGAAGAGAAAUUGUCUAAGUUAGUGACUCUCAGCUAGGGCUAGAAACGAGCCGAGCUCGGCUCGGUGCGGCUUGGUGCCUGAACGAGCUGGGCUCGGCUCGUCCAUUCCACGAGCUGGCGAAAGAGGCUCGGCUCGACCUUGACUCGCGAGCCAUAUUCUGGCUCGCGAGCCGGAACAAGCCGGCUCGGCUCGGCUCGCUGCAAAAACGAGCUCAAAGAAGGGGCUCGGCUCGGCUCGUUCGAGGCUCGCGAGCCGCUCCGAGCCGAGCCGCUCCGAGCUCGAGCCGGCUCGGGAGCCUCGAGCUUAUUUUCUAGCCCUACUCUCAGCCAAGCAACUCGAGUGUGUUUGGUUGGACGUACAAGGAGGGAUCGAAGGGGGUGGCCACAGUUUCUAUAGUGUUUGGAUAAGAGUCACGUGGGGGCGAGGUAAACACCGUAGUAAUUUUUGAUGACGGCGUGAUCCAAAAAAAUCGAGGGGACGGUGUCGCCCUCACCUCAUCCUAUUUUGACCUUAAAUCAAACACAUACUAAGGAAUCAUCGAGGACAUGUGAGGGUGCUCCCAUUGUGCGGCAGCAAACCCCUCUUCCAGUUUACUGCUUUUUUCACUAUUAUUAUUGCUUCUAUAUGUUCCAAGCACUUGUAAGCUUCUGAUAACUGCGAACUAAUUUAAAACCGGUAACCGUGAACUAACUUCAAUUUCACUACCA